UAGUUCUUCAGCUAGAAGCCUUUUAAUUUGCAAGGAGUUCUUACACUGUAAAGGAAAACACACCAGAAGUAGCUGCAGCAGAGUUUCCAGUGAGUCACCCUGUGAAAGCCAAGCAUAACCUGGAGCUGCUUUGGCUUUGGCAGUCUUAAAACAGCCCAAGGCAGGAAGCUGGACCAUGAAGACAAAACAGCCACUCAGGGUGAUUUGAAUAUAGUUCUGUAGAUUUGAAUAUAGUUCUGUAGUCUUCCUUUAAAACAGAAACAAGUAUGAUUUUUUCUUCGUCGUUUUCACUUGCUUCUCUCCCCUCAAAAUAAAGUGAGAGCUAAUUCCUCUGGUUUUAAAGACCAGCUCAUUUUCUUCGCUUGAUGUUGCAUUUGUCCUCAUCACCCUUCCUCCCAAGGUGCACUGGCAUCACUGUUUGCAGCCAUUGUCUGGAUGUUUUGUUGAAUUUUGUGUUAACUGCUCUACAUGCAGCGUCUGCCCUUGCUGUCCCCUGGCACCACGCUGACUGUGACGACCUGCCUCGGUGAGAUCUGUGACCUCACCCUCUGUCCUUGUCAUGUUCAGCUUAACUGAAACUCUCACACAGCUGACCACUAUCCUUUUCUCGUAAUGUUGGCCUAUUCUACAUGCCUUUGGUGUAACUUCUCUCUUCUAUUGUGCAGAGACAGAACCUCCAAGGCAGUUUCUUCCCCACGUGCCAGCUCUCAAGUGAAGGAGCACUGCAGAGCACUCUCUCUGACUGAUGGGAUGGAUCCUCCAGCUCUGCACCCCAGAGGUUUCCUGAGCUGUGCUAGUUUAUGUCAUCUCCACUGCUGCUCACAGCUUCUUUCCUUCAGGAGCCUCUGGGACCUUACUUUGCUGCAGACAUGCUCAGCUGAACCUCUAGACCCCAGCUACACCCCUUCGAGAAGCUGCCUGGGGGCAGCUAACAGCCAGGACCCCUACCCGUGGUGAGAUGGCAAAGCAGCAGUUUACCUCUGCUCUCACGUUAGGAGAAUUCUCACUUUGUUUCUCUCUGAUUCAACGCUAUUGGGCUAAAAGAGGGCCAUGUGGAAGAGGGUUUAGCU
rnacentral:lncRNA from 1 species